GAAGCCAUUUGCUUCUGUUCUGGCAAUAGCACUCCUCCUCCUCACCAUUCUCUGCAACCACAUGGCUUCUGCAGAUUUCAAACUCGGACGGAAACUUUCGCAGACGCCAUAUCCCACACCUCCCGGUGGAUACGGCCCCCCCGGCGGCUACGGCCCUCCCGGUGGAUACGGCCCUCCCUACUGCCCUCCCUCGUCAUAUGGCUGCCGUCCCUCAAAACCAUAGUUAUGUUUCAUAAGUCAUAACUAGUUUUAAGGUUUUGCUGCAAUUCUGGUUUGGCUCACGUAUCCUAAACUUUAUGGUGGCCAGAAGGUAGUUCAGUACCAUAUACAUAGACACACACACACCCCCAUCUCAGUGUCCAAAUAAACCUUCUGGGAUAUAUGCGUCAGAAGUUAGUUCAGUACCAUAUAUUGGUCUGUGUAUUCCAAGCUUCUGUACCGUACCCAUCCAAGAGCUUAAUUAUACCACUUUCAGUCCUAAUUAUAAAAUUUUAUUUGUAGACUA